UGACGUCAAGUCAUCAUGGCCCUUACGAGUAGGGCUACACACGUGCUACAAUGGCGCAUACAAAGAGAAGCGACCUCGCGAGAGCAAGCGGACCUCAUAAAGUGCGUCGUAGUCCGGAUUGGAGUCUGCAACUCGACUCCAUGAAGUCGGAAUCGCUAGUAAUCGUGGAUCAGAAUGCCACGGUGAAUACGUUCCCGGGCCUUGUACACACCGCCCGUCACACCAUGGGAGUGGGUUGCAAAAGAAGUAGGUAGCUUAACCUUCGGGAGGGCGCUUACCACUUUGUGAUUCAUGACUGGGGUGAAGUCGUAACAAGGUAGCCGU
rnacentral:rRNA from 1 species